GCAAACAAAAAGUAAAAUUGCAGCAGGAGCGCUGAGAUCUCUCAGUCGGGCUUUCCUGUUCUCACGUGGAUCUCCAGGAAAAGUGGUGGAGGUUUAUUUUCCAAGCGCCGUUUCCGCGGGAGCCGCCGCCCCGCGCCGCGGUGCCGCUCCGGUUCAGCGCCGCGGCCGCCCGCACGGGGCCCGGUUUUGUUUUAAAGCCCGAGAAGGGAUCAGCGCGCAAAGCCUCAUUUCAGCCGAUCAACCUGGAGAGGGAGGGAGGAGGGGUGGAGAUACGUGCUACUGGAAUAAAAUAAGAUCAAGCGGAAAUAAAUAAAUAAAUAAAUAAAUGUAGCGCUAAAGAUCUCUGUGCCUGCCUCCCUCCCUCCCUGCCUGCCUCCCCUCCCCCGAGCCGGGAAGCUCCGCUCCUGCAGGAACGCCUGAAACUGUUUCAGAUCAAGGAUGUGUCCACAUUGCUCCCAACUCAGUCUUGUUGCUCAAAAGUUGAAAGCCGAGGAGUGAGUAGCUGCCACCGAAAGGCUGCAGCCUUCAGUAAGAAAUAACUAUUCUCUGUCCCAGCAUUUCAGUUUGUGGUGUCACCAAGGCCUGCAAAAAGCACCGCACACCAGAUCACAGCCUUCGCCUCUUCAAGCCUCAGAAAAGGAAUGAACAACGUGCAAUCCUUAACACGCCGGUGUACUCAGUGAGGAGCUUAUUAGAGCCUCUCUCCUGUAGAUUAGCUCUCCCAGCAAGGUAGGCACUGACGUCACCCUCAGCCUCCACCCAGCAAUCUGCCCCUGACCUCAGCAUCACCAACGCUAGCAGAGAAGCUCCAACAACUCUCAGCCUUGAGGACAGCUGGCCUUGCAGAGCCCUGACUAAGACAGGAAACGAACUCAGAAAUUGUAGAUGGGAAUCACGCAGAAAUCUGGGUGCGUAAGUGCUGCCACAAAUAAAUGUGCAUUUAGGUCAGGGUAAAAGCUGUUUUCUGUUUGUAACCCAGAGCAGCUACAUAUUAGAAUUACUGUUCAAUGUAAGUGUUGCAGAUCUGCAGAAACUAUUCUACAUUGCUUAGGUACUAAUAUUCCCAACAGUCACAUUAGUUGAAACGUUUUCUCAUAUUAAGAGAAUUUUUUUGCUAGUAACCAAACCAGCUGACUUUUUUUAAAUAAACUUUUUCCCCUAAGAAACCUGUUAAAUAUUCAAUCUAGUUUCUUUCGCGAUGCAAAAUUUUGAAACAUUUUAAGUACAAAAUAUUUUUUGUUAUCACACAUUCAUGUCUACCAUUCCAAAAAACUCACAACUCUGAUAAUCCAUCUGACAACACAGUCAAUCAAAAGAUCCAUCCUACAGCCGUUUCCAAAGAAACGAACGCAUAGCCAGGAAGGCAGAAUGCUUCAGCUGGAAGGAAACCAAAUAAAAGAACACAACAAC